CCAUACUCCCAAGUCCUCACCACAUCGCCUAGCACCCAGCCUAUAUAUCCCGCCCCGCAGCGCAGCACCCAUCACAGCAGCGCCCAGACACACCCAGCCCUCACCUCUUUCUUCUCACCACCGGGCCGCCAUACGCCCUAUCCUCUUUUUCUCGCCAUAGCGGCUCCCUGGGUGUGGAGUGUGGACGAGCUCCUGGCCUUCGUCUCCGUCGUCAAGUCCCACCGACAAGACAAGGCACUCGCUCCGCCUCUUCUUGCACGUACGUCCAGCCGCCCGCGCUCCGUCCGAUAGUACUGGAAGUGGAAGGUAUCCGUCCGCCCGCUCCUUCCUAAGAAAAUAAUACUGUACGUACGUUUUUGAAAGAUGGGCAUAGGAGAAGUAGUACGUAGUAAUUUUCUGGUCGCUAGCAUAUAUAGCAUGGAUGUCUGGACGAUUUUGCCGCCUCUGGAUUUACUGUAUUGCUUCUCUUAAUUAGCACGCGGGCCUCCUCCGGGUACGGUAUUCUCAUUACUAUCGUCGUGCCCCGCCUCGCAUAAACCCUCUCCGCGCUGCAUCCCACAGCGCCCACACGAAAUCUGAUUUGUGGACCAGGAACCUUGCAUGUGCUUAAUUUGCACAACCAAUCGCCGUUGUAGUUUCAUUCAUCCAUACGCGAGAUGGAGCUCAUGUUCACCCUUUGGUAGGAUCUUGCAGCUCUUUCAUGUUUCUUUACUCUUGGCAUGCAUGUUUAGUCCUCCCAUCUGCACGUUGAUUAACCUUUUUUUUCUCAACCUCCUGCAGCAGUUCCGUUUCAUAUCUUGAGUUUAUCUAUCUAUAUAUAUCAACCCAAGAAGAAGAAGAUGUCGGUGCUUAUGUUAGACGUCGUUACCAGUAUUAACCCUCCAUUAGCGCAUCUGGGCACCGGUUUUGUUGCUUAUUUCCGUCGAAGAACAGUCCUAAUAAUAACAAAUGAGCAUGUUGUCCAAGGGGCUAUGUUUGUUAGGGUUAGGCUUCCGGGCGGAAGCCAACAGUUCACUGGAGAAGUGCUGGUGGCAGACAACCAAGUGGACCUUGCUAUAGUUCGAUUGGUUAAUGUGGAGGGACUGCAUGGGCGGACCCAGGACAAAAAUGUCCCGGUGUUCCAUAUACAUUACAUAUAUAUGGAUAUCAAGCAAUGUUAUACAUAAAAGUUACAAACUCACCAUUUACAUGGCACUUGUUCUUUACAUUAAUAUCAAAACAUGUCUUUUCUUUGUGGAAGACCACAAGUCACAUUUAAUAAUAUGCAGUUCAUAUCCAAAAAUUGUCAUUUCCGUUUAAAAAAACAAUUAUUGUGUUAGCACAAAUGUACAAUGUUAGUAAUGUUACAAUAUUAAUAUUUCGAGGGGCAAGAAUAAAAUUAAUUAAUAAAGCAUAAUUAAUUGAAUUGUGUGAUUAUGGAGUUAACCCUGUUGUUGUUUUAACCUCACUGUUGUGCGUCUGGCCAUCAAGGAAUGACCCAAACAGAUGUGAGUCGCUCACAGAAAUUGACAAGACGCAAUAUUCCAAUUCCCAACUAAACACUCCUAAAAUUAAAAACCCUAGGCAUACAUAUUUUUUUGGGAUUAGUUUGAAUUGCAAGAACUAGACAAAAUAGAGGUAUUCUCUUGGGAGAAAUAAUCGACUUACCUCUCCAGUUCUCGAUCUCAUGUGAUCUACGAGUGGGUGAGGGCGAGCUGGUAGACCGUGACGCUGAUUAGCGCGCGAGUAGGCGGCGGGGACGCCGUGACGAACAAGCGCGGUUCUGCUGUCUGCAGUUUGCGGGAGGAGGCGGCGAGGAAGUAGGCGCAGGUAGCGAUCAGAUCGAUCAGAUGGCAUAGCUAGCUAGGGCAUGCGCGAUGCGUUUUUCUAGAGAGAAUGGGCAUCCGUGCGUUUUUUUAAGGAUGGGCAUGCCGUGCACACUCACGCACGCCGUUGGCUGCAUGGGCCAUUAUUAGAUGGGCUUGGGUGCGUCCCGUCACUGGCUCUUUGCUCCUGAUCCAGGAAUUUUACCGGUGUCCAUACAGAAAAUUUAGGGGUGUCAUCGCGAUAUAGAGCCAACGUAUACAAGGUAAGCAGCAGAAUUACCCGGUGUCCCGUGACACCGGGAGGGCCAACGUGGGUCCGCCCCUGGGACCGUUUCAACCUAUGGUGUUCGCGGAUGUAUCUAUUGAUAACUUUCCAUGGACGGCAUAUGCUCAUGGAUAUUUCUUGGUCCUUGGAGCGCCGGUCAUCAACCCUGCGAGGGCUCCCGGUGAGAUUAACGGCGCGUUCUUCCGAAAUAAUGUUCACUACCUACAAGGGGAUUUCGCACUUCAGCAUGGAAUGUCCGGUGGACCAGUUACUAUGGGAAACAGAGUCAUUGGAGUCAGUACCGCAGUUGCGUGGGGACCGAGCGUCAUUAUUUCCCUGGAUACUGUACACAUGACACUUAUGUUUUGGUGUGGUCUUAAAUCUUAAUGACGGAGACCCUACUAUUGAUGAGAUGCUAGAAAUGCUUGCUGCUGGUGCCGCCUAAUCAGUUCCACAAUUUCAAGUAAAAUCAAGGAAUGAAAUAUCAGCAGUGGCAUGGAGUGCUUGCUUGUUGCAUUGCUGAAUCCUGGAGUCGACUCGAAGAUGGUUUAUUGUUAUUUAAAAUUUUAUUUUCGAAGUUGUUGGAGUGAUGUGUUAAGUUAUUCGUGUCAUGUCAGUUUGUGUAUUAUUCAUGUACGAGGCUACAUUACAAUGUUAAGUAUUGUUAUUUGUUGUAUGUACGUAUCAAUGUAUUGGACCGAUUAUGAGUACUUUGAGCUGAUGUGAUUCAUCAGUACCU